UGCAAACUGUGGGUAGUGGUUGUAAGACC
rnacentral:piRNA from 1 species